rnacentral:lncRNA from 1 species
CUGAGACAUGGACAGGUGAGCCAUGGACAGGUGAGCCAUGGACAGGUGAGCCAUGGAGACCUCAUGUCACCGCCUGGAUCACGCCCAGGAUCAGGAUCUGACAGGUGAGACACGGACAGGUGAGAUAUGGACAGGUGAGACAUGGACAGGUGAGACAUGGACAGGUGAGACAUGGACAGGUGAGACAUGG